CUGACCGUAAACUAUGCCAACUAGCGAUGAGGUGGUGAGAGUUUUGUCCUGCCUCGGAGCUCCCCGGAAACGAAAGUCUUCGGGUUCCGGGGGUAGUAUGGUUGCAAAGCUGAAACUUAAAGGAAUUGACGGAAGGGCACCACCAGGAGUGGAGCCUGCGGCUUAAUUUGACUCAACACGGGAAAACUCACCCGGCCCGGACACUGGUUUGAUUGACAGAUUGAGAGUUCUUUCUUGAUUCGGUGGUUGGUGGUGCAUGGCCGUUCUUAGUUGGUGGAGCGAUUUGUCUGGUUUAUUCCGAUAACGAACGAGACUCUAACCUGCUAAAUAGUUGCCCGGUAGCUUCGCCGGCGUAACUUCUUAGAGGGAUAAGCGGCUUUUAGCCGCGCGAAAGUGAGCAAUAACAGGUCUGUGAUGCCCUUAGAUGUUCGGGGCUGCACGCGCGCUACAAUGGAAGGAUCAACAUGAUUUUCAUUCCUUAGCCGUCAGGCUUUGGUAAUCCUUUCAAAACUUUCCCUGAUUGGGAUAGGGAAUUGCAAUUAUUUCCCUUGAACGAGGAAUUCCUAGUAAGUGUGAGUCAUCAGCUCACGUUG
rnacentral:rRNA from 1 species